rnacentral:rRNA from 1 species
CCUACGGGCGGCAGCAGUGAGGAAUAUUGGUCAAUGGCCGAGAGUCUGAACCAGCCAAGUCGCGUGAGGGAUGACGGCCCUACGGAUUGUAAACCUCUUUUGUCGGGGAGCAAAAGACGCCACGCGUGGCGUUCCGAGAGUACCCGAAGAAAAAGCAUCGGCUAACUCCGUGCCCGCCGCCGCGGUAAUACGGAGGAUGCGCGCGUUAUCCGGAUUUAUUGGGUUUAAAGGGUGCGCAGGCGGAAGAUCAAGUCAGCGGUAAAAUUGAGGGGCUCAACCUCUGCGAGCCGUUGAAACUGGUUUUCUUGAGUGAGCGAGAAGUAUGCGGAAUGCGUGGUGUAGCGGUGAAAUGCAUAGAUAUCACGCAGAACUCCGAUUGCGAAGGCAGCAUACCGGCGCUCAACUGACGCUCAUGCACGAAAGUGUGGGUAUCGAACAGGAUUAGAUACCCGAGUAGUC